GGUUCCUCGACCUCGCUCAGCGGUACCGGUGGCGGGGGCUCAGCUCGGGCGGGGCGCGCUGCCGCCCGCCGAUGGCGGAGCGCCAGGCGGUGCUUUGCUGCCGCGGGCCGGGAGCUGCAGGAGCCGCCCCGGGCGAGCGGCGCCGGGCGCUGCCGCGGUCACUGUGCGGCGGCUGCCCUCGGGCUGGCGGAGGCGCGGGAGCCGCCGAGCUGCAGCCGUCUCCCUCGGGCCGCUGCCGCUGCUGCGGGCGGGGGCGGACGAGCGGCUGCGGAGGCGGCUCCGCGGCGUGCUCAGCCUUGCGAGCAGAGAGCGCUCGAUAUCGCUGGAAUGACACGGCUGCUGAGUGCCUCAGUGCUCGUGGCUCUUUCUUCCACGCAAACAGAUGGAGCGGCAUCGCUGAGCAGUAAAACACAGCGAUGGCCCGGAGAAUGGCGAGCGCAAGGAGCGCCGGGCUGGAUCCUUCUGAUGGCACAGGGCACUCACAAAAUCUGUCUCCCUUAGAGUCCCACAAAACCAUUCUCAGUGCAAUCUCUGUUAAGUGCUAUGAGUCUUGAUAAAUUGGAGAAGAGCCCAAGAGAAAUUUUUCAUCCUGAGAUACAAAAGGGAGCGGUGAAUUUUAAAUUUGGAGUCCUCUAUGCUAAGGAUGGUCAGCUUACAGAUGAUGAAAUGUUCAGUCAUGGGCAGGGAAAGACUCUCGUAUCCUGGUCGUCAGACUCAGUGCUGUCCGAGAAGAUACAGAGACUGUAAAAAUCAUAAGAAGCAAAUAUGACUGCAGAGGAAACAAACUGGAGAGAACAAAAGUUUGUUUUGCAGGACUGAAUCCUCAGACACCCCCGCGGCCCGUAUACCCGGCUUCCUAAAGGCUGCGACGAAUCAUCAAGCAGCCGGAUGGCAGACCAUACCAGGGUCGUGAAUGAACUCAGUGACCGAACUAAAGGAGUGGCUGGCACAGAGAAGGACAGGGGGGAAAAACAGCUAAGCAAAAAUGUUAAGAGGUAUCCAUCAAGUAGAGUUCGAGCUCUGGCCAGGUUCUGGCUCUACUUGGAUGGAAUGCCAAGUAACCCAGAGUUCUUCCCUGCGUCAAAGGAUCAAAGGGCGAUUUGGAGGGAACAUAAGUCCGGACAUGGACUCUCCAAAUCCUCUCUAGUUUAAGAUCAAACAGGUUGCAGACUCUGGGAAAAUAAUUCAGUCCUAGGAGGUCAACUAAAAAAAAAAAAAAAAAAAAAGCUGAGGAGGUCCUACAAAGAUAUUCAAAGACAGGGUUCAGUCAGCCCCCAUGACUGAUUGCCUUACAUGUGAAAAAAGUUUGUGUUGGUUUUUUUUCUUAGAAAAAAACAGUUAGAGAUAGUUAGCUUUUCGUUUGUUAAACAUUUGCAGUUACAAGUUUAUUGCAGUUGUGUUAUGUUGUUCAAGUUAAUUGCAUUUUGCCAGUUACACAUGUUUCCUACUUGUCAGUUUUGCUUUAUGUUUUUAACUGGUCAUAAAAGGGGGGGGAAAUGUGGGGAGAUAUCACGAGGUCACGCAGAACCCCUCCCCUUUUACUGUUACUGACCGUUACCCCCUGUUAUAAAAGACCCUGCAUAACCAAUAAUAAAUGCCAGUUACUGUCCACCACAUUGGUAUAUGCAUGUGCUUGGCCCAUGUGGCAGAGGCGCCGCCACUGAACCGUCGUCGACCUGGGACACCACACCCCAAGUGGUGGCAACAGUCCCAGCCACUUAGAGCCUAGACCAUUAUUUCCUCAGGCUGCCAUCUGUAUGCCAUUAAUACUCACCAUGGGAGCGAGCUGAGGAUUGUUGCAGCUGUUAGAAACAAGCUACUUCUCAUCACACAGAAAUAGAAUUGGGACAACGCCUCGGCCAGCGCCUCUCUGCUCUCGUCUCCUGAAUCUCCAGCAGCGGAGUUCCGGUCCAUCUGGGUGUGUGUAACCCAGUUCCCGAUUAUCUGAACGCGCUGAGCAGCGCUCAACUGGUGUGGGGGGGUUCAGGGAAGGUAGAGUAUGCACUAUCAUCUUCCUGAACCUACAGACAAAUCCAACAGAGAAGGUAUAGGGUGGAAAUCAGUUGCAUACAUGCUAAAUAAAACUGGCAGAUUUUUUUAA